UGCAGUCGGACGGGAUCCGUUGGUAGCUUGCUACCAAUGGUGAGAGUGGCGCACGGGUGCGUAACGCGUGAGCAACCUACCUCUAUCAGGGGGAUAGCCUCUCGAAAGAGAGAUUAACACCGCAUAACAUCAACAGUUCGCAUGUUCGGUUGAUUAAAUAUUUAUAGGAUAGAGAUGGGCUCGCGUGACAUUAGCUAGUUGGUAGGGUAACGGCUUACCAAGGCGACGAUGUCUAGGGGCUCUGAGAGGAGAAUCCCCCACACUGGUACUGAGACACGGACCAGACUCCUACGGGAGGCAGCAGUAAGGAAUAUUGGUCAAUGGGCGGAAGCCUGAACCAGCCAUGCCGCGUGCAGGAUGACUGCCCUAUGGGUUGUAAACUGCUUUUGUCCAGGAAUAACCCCAGGUACGUGUACCUGGCUGAAUGUACUGGAAGAAUAAGGAUCGGCUAACUCCGUGCCAGCAGCCGCGGUAAUACGGAGGAUCCGAGCGUUAUCCGGAUUUAUUGGGUUUAAAGGGUGCGUAGGCGGCCCAUUAAGUCAGGGGUGAAAUACGGUGGCUCAACCAUCGCAGUGCCUUUGAUACUGAUGGGCUUGAAUCCAUUUGAAGUGGGCGGAAUAAGACAAGUAGCGGUGAAAUGCAUAGAUAUGUCUUAGAACUCCGAUUGCGAAGGCAGCUCACUAAGCUGGUAUUGACGCUGAUGCACGAAAGCGUGGGGAUCGAACAGGAUUAGAUACCCUGGUAGUCCACGCCCUAAACGAUGAUAACUCGAUGUUGGCGAUAGACAGCCAGCGUCCCAGCGAAAGCGUUAAGUUAUCCACCUGGGGAGUACGCCCGCAAGGGUGAA
rnacentral:rRNA from 1 species